rnacentral:rRNA from 1 species
GGAAUAUUGGACAAUGGGCGCAAGCCUGAUCCAGCCAUGCCGCGUGUGUGAAGACGGCCUUCGGGUUGUAAAGCACUUUCAGCGGGGAGGAAGGGUGUUGUGUUAAUAGCACAGCAUUUUGACGUUACCCGCAGAAGAAGCACCGGCUAACUCCGUGCCAGCAGCCGCGGUAAUACGGGGGGGGCAAGCGUUGUUCGGAAUUACUGGGCGUAAAGGGUUCGUAGGUGGCCAACUAAGUCAGACGUGAAAUCCCUCAGCUUAACUGGGGAACUGCGUCUGAGACUGGUUGGCUCGAGUGCAGGAGAGGAACGCGGAAUUCCAGGUGUAGCGGUGAAAUGCGUAGAUAUCUGGAGGAACACCGGUGGCGAAGGCAGCGUUCUGGACUGCAACUGACACUGAUGAACGAAAGCCAGGGGAGCAAA